AUUUCUGUGAUGCCCUUAGAUGUUCUGGGCUGCACGCGUGUUACACUGAAGGGAUCAGCGUGUCCUCCCUGGCCGAGAGGUCCGGGUAACCCGCUGAACCCCCUUCGUGGUAGGGAUCGGAGCUUGCAAUUAUUCUCCGUGAACCAGGAAUGCCCAGUAAGCGCAAGUCAUAAGCUUGCGUUGAUUACGUCCCUGCCCUUUGUACACACCGCAAU
rnacentral:rRNA from 1 species